rnacentral:rRNA from 1 species
AACGAACGCUGGCGGCAGGCUUAACACAUGCAAGUCGAGCGCCCCGCAAGGGGAGCGGCAGACGGGUGAGUAACGCGUGGGAGUCUACCCAUCUCUACGGAAUAACGCAUGGAAACGUGUGCUAAUACCGUAUACGUCCUUCGGGAGAAAGAUUUAUCGGAGAUGGAUGAGCCGGCGUUGGAUUAGCUAGUUGGUGGGGUAAAGGCCUACCAAGGCGACGAUCCAUAGCUGGUCUGGGGGGAUGAUCAGCCACACUGGGCCUGACACACGGCCCAGACUCCUACGGGAGGCAGCGGUGGGGAAUAUUGGACAAUGGGCGCAAGCCUGAUCCAGCCAUGCCGCGUGAGUGAUGAAGGCCCUAGGGUUGUAAAGCUCUUUCACCGGUGAAGAUAAUGACGGUAGCCGGAGAAGAAGCCCCGGCUAACUUCGUGCCAGCAGCCGCCGUAACAC